GGAAUAUUGGACAAUGGGCGAAAGCCUGAUCCAGCAAUGCCGCGUGAGUGAUGAAGGCCUUAGGGUUGUAAAGCUCUUUUACCCGGGAUGAUAAUGACAGUACCGGGAGAAUAAGCUCCGGCUAACUCCGUGCCAGCAGCCGCGGUAAUACGUAGGGUCCGAGCGUUAUCCGGAAUCAUUGGGCGUAAAGAGCUCGUAGGCGGUUCAGCAAGUCGGCUGUGAAAGUCCGAGGCUCAACCUCGGAAUUGCAGUCGAUACUGCUGUGACUCGAGUCCGGUAGAGGAGAAUGGAAUUCCCGGUGUAGCGGUGAAAUGCGCAGAUAUCGGGAGGAACACCAGUAGCGAAGGCGGUUCUCUGGGCCGGCACUGACGCUGAGGAGCGAAAGCGUGGGGAGCAAAC
rnacentral:rRNA from 1 species